GGGCGGGUCACGAGUGACGCCCACGUCCAAGGUCCAGACCCCCGCCCUUUAGGGAGGCACCGUCCAGGCCAGCUGGACCCCUCCUCCGCCCGCUGCAUGCGGCCUCCCAGGAUGACAGCGCCCCAGGGAGGCGGCUCCCAGACCCGCCGGCGCUUCUCCGGGAGAGAAGCCAGCUGUGAGACAGGCGCAGGGGAUGCCAAGGAGGAGAGAGAGCGAGAGGCGUCUGGAGGAUGCUCCGGAGGGGCUGGGUCUGCCGCAAGUAAGAGCGGGCCGUGGCCCCGCUGCUCCCUUCCUGCGGGGUCCCCGGCUGGGCUGGCUGCGGCCCUGGCAUCGGACUCUCCCCGGGCCUUGUGGGGCACCCAGCCCAGCACCCUUCAGGGUCAGGAUGCUCAGCUUGCUACCUUCUCGCCACCCUGGUAUUUACUCCAAUCCCUCAGCAUCUUCACCCACUUGUCAGCUCGCCCGAUCUCCUGGGCUUUUUGCUGGAAAAUGGGAAAUGGUGGUGCUGGCCCAGCUGCCAGCUUCCUAGGGUGGCCCUGAUGGGCGUGACCUCAAAAGGGCCAGGAAAGGCGCAGACCCCUCAGCCCGAGGACCCCUUGACGGCUCUGGGGUCAGGGCGGCAGGGAACCGAAGCUGCACCCACGACGUCCUCCCCCCUCCCGCCGGUGCAGCAUGGAUGGCUCUUACCCUCGCUGAGUGGGUGCUGCAGCCGCUGAUGCUGAGGCCCUGGGUGCUGAGGCUACGCAGCUCCCCUGACUGGAAGGCAAGAGAAGCAGAGCGUGAGGACCUGCACCCGGCCGGGUGCCCAGAAGGCCCCACCUGCCCCCAUCAACCCCCAGGUGUCAGCCCAGGAGACUGCGGAGGGGAGGGCUGACCCCAGGAGGGUGCUGGCUCAGGGAUGGGCUGCGUCCCACAGCAGCCCCAGGAGGUGCCCCACCUCCUGCCGAUGCUGGUCACCCGCUCUGUUCCAUGCCCUCCCGGCCCCUGCCCUGCUGGAGCGCAGAGGCCCCCGCUCAGGGCUCUCAGGUGAGUUGCUCCCCAGGGCCUCACCCUGCUCCAGAGUGGAUGCCUCCGUCCAGGUGAGUCACUCCCCAGGGCCUCACCCUGCUCCAGAGUGGACGCCACCGUCCAGGUGAGUCGCUCCCCAGGGCCUCACCCUGCUCCAGAGUGGACGCCUCCGUCCAGGAGCCCAGCACCCUUAGCCCUGCUGCAGACCAGCUCCGUCCAGGUACAUGCAUGUCUUCUCCUCUCUCCCCCACCGUGGCCCGGCCCGGCCUUCUACCCCGAGUCUCCUCCCAGCCCCAGACCGAGGGGUCAGGUCGUCUUCAGCUGCAAACUCCGCCUGCGUCUGUCUCCUUCCCGUGAGCUUCUGAGGCCGGUCCUGCCUGCUCCCCCUGCCCGUCCCUCCAGCGCCUGAGGCCACACCUCUCACUGUCCUCCGGGCCAGAGCCUCGGAGACCUGUGGGCCAGGCGCGCCUCACCCUGUGGCCACGCUCUGCAGAGUCUGCUAACCAGGCUGAGCCUCCCUCUGACCUCGGAGGCAGAGGCCAGGGCCAGGCAUGGAGGCCACGCGGCUGAGGCCCAGGCCUGGACCAGCGCCCAGCCCUGCCCCCGCCGCCUCCCCGAGUCCUCUCAGCUCCAGCCCAGUGCAGACCCUGACCCGCCGUGGCCACCAGGGGUCGAGGCCCUGAGCUGGGGCGAUGGGUCCCGCCUCCAGAGAGGUCUUUCUGCAAAAGGAAACCUGCCCCGAGAUGGGAAGGAGGGGCAUCCUGAUGCCUCAUGGCAGAAAACGUAGCCUGUCGGCAACUUUGUACAGCGAGCGGUCAGCAUCUUCCCCGGGUUCCACUGGAGCCCCUGCCUGGCCCUGAAACCCACAGAGGCCAGAGGUGUGGCCAAAGGAGGGGCAGAACACCUCCCCUGCCCUGCGUCCCAGGAGCACAGCACGAGACCCACCUGCCCGAGUGGGAGCUGCUCGUACCUGGCUAGGAUCCUGCCUGGGCCACCUGGUCCCACUGGCUGUGACCGCCACCCAGGCCAUACCCGCCCCUCCGGGGCCAGCAGGGUCUCCGGCUUCUCCAUGUGCGACGCUGCAAGACAAAAAUAUCCAAAUAUCCCAGUGUGCUAAAGAGCUUCAGAGAGCCAGCAAGUUGAAGUUGGCUCCUUGUCGGCAGCUCCCCCGUCUGUCUGAUGAGGGGAGAAAACCACGCCGCCGGGGUGGCGGGUCAUGGCUCGCACCCACACCUCGUAACACUUACUU